ACGCUGAUAAUAAACAUGUCGCUCUGUAUAAUAAUACUGAGUAUCUAUACGCUGAUAAUAAACAUGUCGCUCUGUAUAAUGAUACCGAGUACCUGUUAUGUUUGAUGAUAGCUGCCUUACAAUAACAUACCGUCUAUUAAUCAGCCAGGAUUUAUUGAUCACAAGUCACAUAUUAUGCUCGAUCCCUUUGUUGAUAUACACAUUCCUGCUGUAACAUACACCCAACAUGGCCGAACUCCAUGCACACACUGG